rnacentral:rRNA from 1 species
AACGAACGCUGGUGGCGGGCCUAAUACAUGCAAGUCGAACGAGAAAGCUCUUCGGAGUGAGUACAGUGGCGCACGGGUGAGUAACACGUAAGUGACCUACCCUUAAGUGGGGGACAACCAGGGGAAACUCUGGCUAAUACCGCAUACGCUAAAUAACUUUGAAAGGAAUUUAGUAAAGGGGGCUUCGGGCUCUCGCUUGAGGAAGGGCUUGCGGAUCAUUAGCUUGAUGGUGGGGUAACGGCCUACCAUGGCAACGAUGAUUAACUGGUCUGAGAGGAUGAUCAGUCACACUGGAACUGAGACACGGUCCAG